rnacentral:rRNA from 1 species
AAAUGAAUAGACGGGGGCCCGCACAAGCAGCGGAGCAUGUGGUUUAAUUCGACGCAACGCGAAGAACCUUACCAGGUCUUGACAUCCAGUUAAAGCAUAUGAAAGUAUGUGUCUCUUCGGAGGAACUGAGACAGGUGGUGCAUGGUUGUCGUCAGCUCGUGUCGUGAGAUGUUGGGUUAAGUCCCGCAACGAGCGCAACCCUUGUAGAUAGUUACUAACGCGUAAAGGCGAGGACUCUAUAUAGACUGCCGUGGACAACACGGAGGAAGGUGGGGACGACGUCAAAUCAUCAUGCCCCUUAUGACCUGGGCUACACACGUGCUACAAUGGCCGACACAGAGAGGAGCAAAGCCGUAAGGUGGAGCAGAUCUCAAAAAAGCGGUCGAAGUUCAGAUUGUGGGCUGCAACCCGCCCACAUGAAGCAGGAGUUGCUAGUAAUCGCAGAUCAGCAUGCUGCGGUGAAUACGUUCCCGGGCCUUGUACACACCGCCCGU